UGGCGGCGUGCUUAACACAUGCAAGUCGAACGGGAUCCUUGGCAGCUUGCUGCCGGGGUGAGAGUGGCGAACGGGUGAGUAAUGCGUGACCGACCUGCCCCAUGCACCGGAAUAGCUCCUGGAAACGGGUGGUAAUGCCGGAUGUUCCACAUGAGCGCAUGCGAGUGUGGGAAAGGCUUUUUGCGGCAUGGGAUGGGGUCGCGUCCUAUCAGCUUGUUGGUGGGGUAACGGCCUACCAAGGCAUUGACGGGUAGCCGGCCUGAGAGGGCGACCGGCCACAUUGGGACUGAGAUACGGCCCAGACUCCUACGGGAGGCAGCAGUGGGGAAUAUUGCGCAAUGGGCGCAAGCCUGAUGCAGCGACGCCGCGUGCGGGAUGGAGGCCUUCGGGUUGUAAACCGCUUUUGUUCAAGGGCAAGGCACGGUUUCGGCCGUGUUGAGUGGAUUGUUCGAAUAAGCACCGGCUAACUACGUGCCAGCAGCCGCGGUAAUACGUAGGGUGCAAGCGUUAUCCGGAUUUAUUGGGCGUAAAGGGCUCGUANGCGGUUCGUCGCGUCCGGUGUGAAAGUCCAUCGCUUAACGGUGGAUCCGCGCCGGGUACGGGCGGGCUUGAGUGCGGUAGGGGAGACUGGAAUUCCCGGUUAACGGUGGAAUGUGUAGAUAUCGGGAAGAACACCAAUGGCGAAGGCAGGUCUCUGGGCCGUUACUGACGCUGAGGAGCGAAAGCGUGGGGAGCGAACAGGAUUAGAUACCCUGGUAGUCCACGCCGUAAACGGUGGAUGCUGGAUGUGGGGUCCUUAUUCCGGGUCCUGUGUCGGAGCUAAAGCGUUAAGCAUCCCGCCUGGGGAGUACGGCCGCAAGGCUAAAACUCAAAGAAAUUGACGGGGGCCCGCACAAGCGGCGGAGCAUGCGGAUUAAUUCGAUGCAACGCGAAGAACCUUACCUGGGCUUGACAUGUGCCGGACGCCCGCGGAGACGUGGGUUCCCUUCGGGGCCGGUUCACAGGUGGUGCAUGGUCGUCGUCAGCUCGUGUCGUGAGAUGUUGGGUUAAGUCCCGCAACGAGCGCAACCCUCGCCGCGUGUUGCCAGCGGGUCAUGCCGGGAACUCACGUGGGACCGCCGGGGUUAACUCGGAGGAAGGUGGGGAUGACGUCAGAUCAUCAUGCCCCUUACGUCCAGGGCUUCACGCAUGCUACAAUGGCCGGUACAACGGGGUGCGACACGGU
rnacentral:rRNA from 1 species